rnacentral:rRNA from 1 species
AUGAACGCUGGCGGCAGGCCUAACACAUGCAAGUCGAACGGUAACAGGAAGCAGCUUGCUGCUUUGCUGACGAGUGGCGGACGGGUGAGUAAUGUCUGGGAAACUGCCCGAUGGAGGGGGAUAACUACUGGAAACGGUAGCUAAUACCGCAUAACGUCGCAAGACCAAAGAGGGGGACCUUCGGGCCUCUUGCCAUCGGAUGUGCCCAGAUGGGAUUGGCUAGUAGGUGGGGUAACGGCUCACCUAGGCGACGAUCCCUAGCUGGUCUGAGAGGAUGACCAGCCACACUGGAACUGAGACACGGUCCAGACUCCUACGGGAGGCAGCAGUGGGGAAUAUUGCACAAUGGGCGCAAGCCUGAUGCAGCCAUGCCGCGUGUAUGAAGAAGGCCUUCGGGUUGUAAAGUACUUU